AUGCAAAAUAUAUGCUACUUUUCAAUGUGUUCAGGGAUUCUGAGCUUUUUAAUAUUUUGGAAAGGCUUAUUUUUGAAAAUGGAACACUUUGCCUGCCUUAAGUCUGCAGGAACCUUUUCUUUUCUUCCUGGUUUCUUGAAUAAUCCUUGUGUCUUCUGUCACUUUCGUGUCUCCUGAUAUUUCCUGGGGAUCUCUUACUGUCCUGCAGCCUUGAUUUCCUCCUCUGGGGAAAAUGAUGCCAAUCUCAUCUAAGCCCUGGGUCACUCUGAACACCAGAUAAGAAAAUAUGUAUGAAAGCUCUUUACCCAAGCCCAGCAUAGAGUGAUUGAAUGAACUAAAAAGAACCAUAUAAAUAAGGAAUUUUACUAUAAUUGCAUGAGGUACUCACAGAUGCCCACAAAAUACUUCUCUAGGAAGCCAAAUAAAUUACUUUGAAUUUCACUGUGCUGUCA
rnacentral:lncRNA from 12 species